CACGUAGGCGGCCAUUCAAGUCAGAGGUGAAAGCCCGGGGCUCAACCCCGGGCGUGCAGUGGAAACUGCCGGGCUAGAGGGCGGCAGAGGCGAGUGGAAUUCCCGGUGUAGCGGUGAAAUGCGCAGAUAUCGGGAGGAACACCAGUAGCGAAGGCGGCUCGCUGGGCCGUCCCUGACGCUGAGACGCGAAAGCUAGGGGAGCGAACA
rnacentral:rRNA from 1 species